GGCAGCAUGGCCAAGCGGUAAGGCACGGGACUGCAAAUACUUUAUCUCUAGUUAAAAUCUGGGUGUCGCUU
rfam:Triticum aestivum genome assembly, contig: Triticum_aestivum_CS42_TGACv1_scaffold_000121_1AL